rnacentral:rRNA from 1 species
AUUGAACGCUGGCGGCAGGCCUAACACAUGCAAGUCGAACGGCAGCACAGAAGAGCUUGCUCUUUGGGUGGCGAGUGGCGGACGGGUGAGUAAUGUCUGGGAAACUGCCCGAUGGAGGGGGAUAACUACUGGAAACGGUAGCUAAUACCGCAUAUCGUCGCACGACCACAGUGGGGGACCUUCGGGCCUCACACCAUCGGAUGUGCCCGGAUGGGAUUAGCUAGUAGGUGGGGUAAUGGCUCACCUAGGCGACGCUCCCUAGCUGGUCUGAGAGGAUGACCAGCCACACUGGAACUGAGACACGGUCCAGACUCCUACGGGAGGCAGCAGUGGGGAAUAUUGCACAAUGGGCGCAAGCCUGAUGCAGCCAUGCCGCGUGUAUGAAGAAGGCCUUCGGGUUGUAAAGUACUUUCAGCGGGGAGGAAGGCGGUGAGGUUAAUAACCUUGCCGAUUGACGUUACCCGCAGAAGAAGCACCGGCUAACUCCGUGCCAGCCGCCGCCGUAA